GCAAGUCGAGCGGAUUGAUGGGAGCUUGCUCCCUGAAUCAGCGGCGGACGGGUGAGUAACACGUGGGUAACCUGCCUGUAAGACUGGGAUAACUCCGGGAAACCGGGGCUAAUACCGGAUAGUUCUUUUCCUCGCAUGAGGAAAAGUGGAAAGGCGGCUUCGGCUGCCACUUACAGAUGGACCCGCGGCGCAUUAGCUAGUUGGUGAGGUAACGGCUCACCAAGGCAACGAUGCGUAGCCGACCUGAGAGGGUGAUCGGCCACACUGGGACUGAGACACGGCCCAGACUCCUACGGGAGGCAGCAGUAGGGAAUCUUCCGCAAUGGACGAAAGUCUGACGGAGCAACGCCGCGUGAGUGAUGAAGGUUUUCGGAUCGUAAAGCUCUGUUGUUAGGGAAGAACAAGUGCCGUUCGAAUAGGGCGGCACCUUGACGGUACCUAACCAGAAAGCCACGGCUAACUACGUGCCAGCAGCCGCGGUAAUACGUAGGUGGCAAGCGUUGUCCGGAAUUAUUGGGCGUAAAGCGCGCGCAGGCGGUCUCUUAAGUCUGAUGUGAAAGCCCACGGCUCAACCGUGGAGGGUCAUUGGAAA
rnacentral:rRNA from 1 species